GACGGAAGGUGCAAGCGUUGCUCGGAAUCACUGGGCGUAAAGGGUGCGUAGGCGGCUUUUUAAGUCUGGUGUGAAAGCCCAGGGCUCAGCUCUGGAAGUGCACUAGAAACUGGGAAGCUUGAGUACCGGAGGGGAGAGUGGAAUUCCUGGUGUAGCGGUGAAAUGCGCAGAUAUCAGGAGGAACACCCGUGGCGAAAGCGGCUCUCUGGGACGGUACUGACGCUGAGACGCGAAAGCGUGGGGAGCAAACAGG
rnacentral:rRNA from 1 species